AGGGUUUGAUCCUGGCUCAGAGUGAACGCUGGCGGCGUGGAUAAGGCAUGCAAGUCGAGCGAUCCUGUUAGUCGAAUUGUUUGAAUUCUGUGAUGUUCGCUUCGGUGAAUGGAUCAGUUGGAUUUCAGCUAGACUAUUUGGAUAGCGGCAAAAGGGUUAGUAACACGUGGGUAACAUGCCCGAUAUUGAGGAAUAGCUUCGGGAAACCGGAGGUAAUACCUCGUACACUUGCUUAUUUAAUAUAAGUACGGAAAGAUGGGGCUCUUAUGACGUGUCGAUAUCGGAGUGGCCCGCGGGAUAUCAGCUAGUUGGUGUGGUAAUGGCUCACCAAGGCGACGACGUCUAGCAGGCAUUAGUGUGUGGUCUGCAACACCGGAACUGAGACACUGUCCGGACUCCUACGGGAGGCUGCAGUCGAGAAUAUUUCCCAAUGCACGAAAGUGUGAGGAUGCGACGCCGCGUGAGGGAUGAAGGGUCUAGGCUCGUAAACCUCUUUUGUUUAGGAAGAAAAGCUAAUAGUUAAUACCUAUUAGAACUGACGUUACUUUACGAAUAAGCAACGGCUAAAUCCGUGCCAGCAGCCGCGGUAAUACGGAUGUUGCAAGCGUUACUCGGAAUUACUGGGUGUAAAGGGUCCGCAGGCGGUUUUGUAAGUCAGAGGUGAAAGCUCACGGCUCAACUGUGAAAAUGCCUUUGAAACUGCAAGACUAGAAUAUGUGAGAGGAGAGUGGAACUGAUAGUGUAAAGGUGAAAUUUGUGGAUAUUAUCAGGAACGCCAACGGUGAAGACAACUCUCUGGCGCAUUAUUGACGCUCAUGGACGAAAGCGUAGGUAGCAAACAGGAUUAGAUACCCUGGUAGUCUACGCUGUAAACGAUGAUCACUGGCUGUUCUUUCCUUCGGGAGAGAGUGGCGAAGCUAACGCGUUAAGUGAUCCACCUGGGGACUACGGUCGCAAGGCUAAAACUCAAAGGAAUUGACGGGGGCCCGCACAAGCGGUGGAACAUGUGGUUUAAUUCGAUGCUACGCGAGGAACCUUACCUGGACUUGAAACGCUAGAAGUAGGAAUCCGAAAGGGCUACCACCGGUAUCCAAUCCGGAACUAGUACAGGUGCUGCAUGGUUGUCGUCAGCUCGUGCCGUGAGGUGUCGCCUUAAGUGGCUUAACGAGCGCAACCCUCGUUGCUAGUUGCUAGCUUACUCUUAGUAUGCGCACUCUAGCGAGACUGCCCGUGUUAAACGGGAGGAAGGUGAGGACGACGUCAAAUCAGCAUGGCCCUUAUGUCCAGGGCUACACACGUGUUACAAUGCACGGUACAGAGGGAGGCCAAGCCGCGAGGUGGAGCAAAUCCCAAAAAGCCGUGCCCAGUUCGGAUUGUAGGCUGCAACUCGCCUACAUGAAGUUGGAAUCGCUAGUAAUGGCGUAUCAGCAAUGACGCCGUGAAUACGUUCCCGGGCCUUGUACACACCGCCCGUCAAGCGCUGAAAGUGAGGAGCGCCCGAAGAUUUAUCCUAACGAUAGAUUCACGGUGAGCUUCGCAAUUGGUGCUAAGUCGAAACAAGGUA
rnacentral:rRNA from 1 species